AGAGGCUACAAGUUUCAGGCCAUAGCAGAAGUGCUUAUGGCACAGCCGUGUCAUAUUCCAACGAAUCUGCAAAUUCUGCU
rnacentral:ribozyme from 1 species